GAUCCCCAGCUCCAAAACCCGUCUGGUUCCCGUAAAUCCUUCCUUCAUAACUCUUCCAGAAACUUCACUCCUUCUCUCACAGCCAUGGCUAGGGCACCAGGCAAGCAUGGACGUGAUCAAGCCCUGGAUUUCCAGGGAUUUUUGAAUGAUUUGCAGGACUGGGAACUUCUUAAGGAUACUGAUAAAAAGGUGAAGACGAAAUCGCAAGCUUCUGAUGUGAAGAUUGGUGAGGAUGGAAGAUCAAAGGGAAAAACUUCUGCUGUUGAUUCUUCUAGAAGUGGUUCAGGACAGUAUGAUUACUCAAGGAACUUUGGUGCAAUCAAUCGUCUAUCGAGUAAUUUUACAACUGAUGAGAUUACUGUGGAUGCUACCACAGAAAAAGAAUUGGGAAAUGAAUAUUUUAAGCAGAAGAAGUUUAAUGAAGCUAUUGAGUGUUAUUCAAGAAGCAUAGCCUUGUCACCAACUGCUGUAGCCUAUGCAAAUAGGGCAAUGGCGUAUCUCAAAAUCAAAAGAUUUCGAGAGGCUGAAGAUGACUGUACAGAGACUUUGAAUCUAGAUGAUCACUACAUAAAAGCGUAUUCACGCAGAGCAACAGCUAGAAAGGAAUUGGGGAAACUUAAAGAAUCCAUCGAGGAUUCUGAAUUUGCUUUGAAGUUGGAACCUAUUAACCAGGAAAUCAAGAAACAGUAUGCUGAAGUCAAAUCUUUGUAUGAGAAGGAAAUUCUCCAGAAAGCAUCUGGCGCUCUCAGAAGCUCUUUACAAGGAACACAAAAGGGAGGAAGGUCAGAAGCAAGUGUAAAUGGACAUGCAGUGCAUCCAGUCUCGAUUCCCACUCAAAAUACUGGGGUCUCUGCAUCCAAAAAGGAUAACACCAAGGAGAAUGAUGGAAACAAUCUUGUGAAGAAAUCAGUGCGUGUGAAAGAAGUAAGGAACAAAGGUACAGGUGCUGGAAGCAAAUCUGAUGGUCAUGUAGGCAAUGAUUCUCCUGCAAAUGCCACUCUGAGUUCCAGUGUAGAUAGUGUCCAGAAAAAUAAUAGAACUCAAAGACAAGAGCUGAAGACCUCAGUAAUGGAACUUGCUUCUCAAGCAGCUUCUCGUGCCAUGGCUGAAGCUGCGAAAAACAUUACUCCUCCAAACUCGGCUUAUCAAUUUGAGGUUUCUUGGCGAGGCUUUUCUGGUGAUCGUGCACUCCAGGCUCACCUCUUGAAGGUUACUUCUCCGAGUGCAUUGCCUCAGAUAUUUAAAAAUGCACUGUCUGUUCCUAUUCUAAUCGACAUCAUCAAGUGUGUGGCCUCCUUCUUCAUCGAUGACAUGGAUCUGGCCGUCAAAUAUCUGGAGAACCUGACCAAAGUCCCAAGAUUUGGCGUGCUUAUCAUGUGUCUUUCAUCUACAGAUACGUCUGAUCUUCUCAAGAUGUGGGAUGGAGUCUUCUGUAGUGCAUCCACGCCAAUUGAAUAUGCUGAGAUUCUUGACAACUUACGAUCAAAAUACUGUCCCAAAUAUUGACAGGCAUGUAACAUAGAGAGUUUUUAGUAUCACAUGUUCUUGAUCCAGUCCUAACGUUGUUAUGUCUCAACGUUGAAGGUAGGUGGCUUCUUAGGCAGCCAGAAGAAGCCUCGCUGCCAUGCCAGGUUUCCUUUAUUCACCUGACUUUGAAGUUGCAUCGGAUUUCGGUUGUGAUACAAGAGAAUUUCAAUAGACCAACUUGAACUCUAUCCAGAGAGACAACAAAGAUGAGCUCCGAUUCUUUCUUGAGAGAAAAGAAAAGGAAAAGGACCUCCUGCAUAAUUGUCUCCAUUGAUAUCAAAAUAUAGUUAUGAAAGCAAAAGGUUGAACUAAAAAUCUCUUUAUUGUUAAAAUUAAAUUUAGAACCAA